rnacentral:rRNA from 1 species
CGUCGCAUUAGCUAGUUGGUGAGGUAACGGCUCACCAAGGCAACGAUGCGUAGCCGACCUGAGAGGGUGAUCGGCCACACUGGGACUGAGACACGGCCCAGACUCCUACGGGAGGCAGCAGUAGGGAAUCUUCCGCAAUGGACGAAAGUCUGACGGAGCAACGCCGCGUGAGUGAUGAAGGCUUUCGGGUCGUAAAACUCUGUUGUUAGGGAAGAACA